rnacentral:rRNA from 1 species
UGGCUCAGGACGACGCUGGCGGCGUGCCUAACACAUGCAAGUCGAGCGGGGACAUGCGACGGAUAGGAAGAUUCGGUUGGACUUGAAGAUGCAUUGUUCUAGCGGCGGACGGGUGAGUAACGCGUGAGCAACCUGUCCCUUACAGGGGGAUAACACAGCGAAAGUUGUACUAAUACCGCAUAAGACCACGGGAGGACAUCCUUCAGGGGUCAAAGGAGGAAUCCGGUAAGGGGUGGGCUCGCGUCCGAUUAGAUAGUUGGUGAGGUAACGGCCCACCAAGUCGACGAUCGGUAGCCGACCUGAGAGGGUGAUCGGCCACAUUGGGACUGAGACACGGCCCAAACUCCUACGGGAGGCAGCAGUGGGGAAUAUUGGGCAAAUGGGGGAAACCCUGACCCAGCAACGCCGCGUGAGGGAAGAAGGUUUUCGGAUCGUAAACCUCUGUCCUUGGUGAAGAGGAAGAGACGGUAGCCAAGGAGGAAGCCCCGGCUAACUACGUGCCAGCCGCCGC